CGAGGGGGGCAAAUGUUGUUCGGAAUCACUGGGCGUAAAGGGAGCGUAGGCGGGUUCUUAAGUAAGGUGUUUAAUCCCGGGGCCCAACCCCGGACCGGCACUUUAAACUGGGAAUCUUGAAUAGUGGAGAGGUCAGUGGAAUUGGGGGUGUAGCGGUGGAAUGCGUAGAGAUCCCCAAGAACACCAGUUGCGAAGGCGGCUGACUGGACACAUAUUGACGUUGAGGCUCGAAAGCAUGGGGGAGCAAACAGGAUUAGAUACCCUGGUAGUCCAUGCCAUAAACGAUGAAUACUAGGUUUUGGGCCCGUCAACGGUCCAGAGCCGCAGCUAACGCGUUAAGUAUUCCGCCUGGGGAGUACGGUCGCAAGACUG
rnacentral:rRNA from 1 species